GACGAACGCUGGCGGCGUGCUUAACACAUGCAAGUCGAACGGAAAGGCCCUGCUUUUGUGGGGUGCUCGAGUGGCGAACGGGUGAGUAACACGUGAGUAACCUGCCCUUGACUUUGGGAUAACUUCAGGAAACUGGGGCUAAUACCGGAUAGGAGCUCCUGCUGCAUGGUGGGGGUUGGAAAGUUUCGGCGGUUGGGGAUGGACUCGCGGCUUAUCAGCUUGUUGGUGGGGUAGUGGCUUACCAAGGCUUUGACGGGUAGCCGGCCUGAGAGGGUGACCGGCGCACAGGGGACGCGGGGGACGGACAAGACUAGGAGGGGGGGCAGAAGUGGGGAAUGAGGGACGGGGGGGGGAGGGCUGAGGCAGAAAGGGGGCGAGGGGGAGGGCGGGGCGGGGUUUGUAACCAGGUGUGCCGCGGGCAGGAGAGAGGGGGACGGAAAUGGAUAAAGGAGCACCGGUAAACAACGCAGGGGAGGAGGAGGUGGUAAGAGGAAUAGAACACGGCUGAAC
rnacentral:rRNA from 1 species